rnacentral:rRNA from 1 species
GUAGGGAAUCUUGCGCAAUGGGCGAAAGCCUGACGCAGCCAUGCCGCGUGAAUGAUGAAGGUCUUAGGAUUGUAAAAUUCUUUCACCGGGGACGAUAAUGACGGUACCCGGAGAAGAAGCCCCGGCUAACUUCGUGCCAGCAGCCGCGGUAAUACGAAGGGGGCUAGCGUUGCUCGGAAUUACUGGGCGUAAAGGGAGCGUAGGCGGAUAGUUUAGUCAGAGGUGAAAGCCCAGGGCUCAAACUUGGAAUUGCCUUUGAUACUGGCUAUCUUGAGUAUGGAAGAGGUAUGUGGAACUCCGAGUGUAGAGGUGAAAUUCGUAGAUAUUCGGAAGAACACCAGUGGCGAAGGCGACAUACUGGUCCAUUACUGACGCUGAGGCUCGAAAGCGUGGGGAGCAAACAGGAUUAGAUACCCUAGUAGUCC